GGUGUCCCAGGUGUGUUUUGGGGUGCCCCAGGUAUGUUUGGGGUGUCCCAGGUAUGUUUGGGGUGCCCCAGGUGUUCCAGAAGCCAGGACAGCCCAGAGGAGCUCCCAAGGCUGCCGGGUUCCCACAUCAACCUUACCGCAUCGAAGAGCCGCCAGAGGUUCUGCACCACCUUGGCCACCACGGGGCUGGCCUCGCUGCUCCUCAGCUGGCCCAGCACGUUCAGGCAGGUGUCCAUGGCCAUCACCGAGAUGUCCCAGGACCAAUGCCAAAGGAACUUCAGCAGCUCGGGGAGGAGGCCUCUCAUUUUCCUUGCCUGCGUGAAAAGAGUUUCUGUUCUGUGAGAGCUUCCGUCGCUGGAGGAGACGAAACAGGAGAGCGGAUUCCAAAUCACAGCAGCAGAGGAUUUUAUUCCUGAGGAGCCUUUAUUUCGGGGUUCUUAGCCCCUUUUUUAUUCUCAUAAAUUAUUAAAUUAGGUAUUAAAUUAAAUUAGGUGUUCUGAUAAAGGUUUGACAUGGGUGGUAAAAGGAAUAAGAGAAAAACACAUUCAGAACAUUUGUGGGCCGCUGUUUUGGGAAACAAAACCCAAUUUAUGAAAUAGUAACUCUUUCCUGCUCUUUUUCUCCCCUUUUGUUUUCCGCCAUUUUCUCCCCUCCCGUUUUCCCGCCCUUUUCUCCCCUCACGUUUUCCCGCCCUUUUCUCCCCUCACGUUUCCCUUUUCCCCCUCACGUUUUCCCGCUCUUUUCUCCCCUCAUGUUUUCCCGCCCUUUUCUCCCCUCACGUUUUCCCGCUCUUUUCUCCCCUCACGUUUCCCGCUCUUUUCUCCCCUCACGUUUCCUGCUCUUUUCUCCUCACAUUUCCACCCUUUUCCCCUCACAUUCCCACCCUUUUUCCUUCAUAUUUCCUUCUCUUUUCCUCUCACAUUUUCUACUCUUUUCCCCACCCUUUUCCCCUCACAUUUCCUGCCCUUUUCUCCCCUCACGUUUCCCGCUCUUUUCCCCUCACAUUCCCACCCUUUUCCCCUCACAUUUCCACCCUUUUCCCCUCACAUUUCUCACCCUUUUCCCCUCACAUUUCCACCCUUUUCCCCUCACAUUUCCCACCCUUUUCCCCCUCACAUUUCCACCCUUUUCCCCUCACAUUUCCCACCCUUUUCCCCCCCUCACGUUUCCUGCCCUUUUUCUCCCCUCACAUUUCCCGCCCUUUUUCUCCCCUCACGUUUCCCGCUCUUUUCCCCUCACAUUUUCCACUCUUUUCCCCUCACAUUUCCCAUCCUUUUCCCCCUCACAUUCCCACCCUUUUCCCCUCACACUCCCCACCCUCCAUUCCUCUCCACCCUCAUUUUCUCCAUUCCCCCGCCCCUCCGCACACCCAAACAGGUGACAACAGCACAGGUGAACAACACCCUCACCUGAACCGUCCAGCUGCUGGGCAUAUCCAGGUAGGAAGCGAUCUCGGCUUCCCAGAACGCCGGGAGCUCCGCGUGCACCUCUGGCAGCUUGGUGCCUGAAGAGAAGGGACGGCAACAUGGCGGUCAGGAGGACACACGGAACCUUCUGGAAUUCCCUAACCGAAUUCCUUACGUUUCUGCCGGGAGAGGAAGGUCAUGAGGGAGCAGAGGAUCUCCACCACCGUCCCGCUGCUUUCCUCUUUCCUCAACAACUUCAAGAAAAGAUGGCCCAGCAGCUUGCCCAGCGCCGGGAUCUGUCCGCCGGCAGCGCCGCUCUCCUCCUUUCCACCCGUCCGCAGGAAAACAGGUGAGUGAAAAAUUAAAAAAAAUUUAAAAAUUAAAGGUGGGGAUUUGAGGUUUG
rnacentral:lncRNA from 1 species